GUGUAAGCCUAAUUCCCUUUCACCAACAACCUCCCGGUCCCAAACGCGAGCCUGUACUGGGACCGUGCUGUCUCCGCCGUCUGAGGCCGGGGCGUGCUGUGGGCGACGGUGUUCGGAAACCACGACGACAUGGCCUUUGAGUGGCCGCCCGAGUGUUUCUCCCCCAACGGCGUCCCGCCGCUGCGCUGGCCGCCGGGUCCAGGAUCAGGGUGCGGCUUCCGGGGGACUCCCUAGAUGGACCUCAUGGCGACGGAGACCGGCGCGAACCGGCUGCUGUCCUACUCGUCCAGCGGGCCCUGGGAGCUGUGGCCCGACGUCUCCAACUACGUCCUGCAGGUGCUCUCGCGGGGACGGCGGGCCCGCGGCGACGGUCACGACCACGACCCGGCGCUGCUCAUGUACUUCCUCGACUCCGGCGGCGGGUCGUACACCGAGGUGGUGUCCAGCGCUCAGGUCAGGUGGUUCCACACCCAGUCUCAGUUCCUGAAUCCAGAUGGAAGGAUCCUCGAGCUCAUCUUCUGGCACAUACCGAGCACGGCGUACGCCAAGGUAGCUCCAAAGGCCAAUUCUGAGAUAAGGAAGCCCUGCGUCAGCUCCAUCAAUGGAUUUCACUUUGUCUUGCUAUCACGCAUUUCAAAAGAAACUUCUUUGCUAUCUGUGUAACAACCGUAGAUAGAGAAGAGGUUAGAUAAGCUUAACAACAGCAAAACUAAAGAUACACAAGUAAAAGUGAAGGUAAGACAUACAAAUUCUUUGGUUCUGAUGACCUUUUUGUUCUAUGUGCUAACUGAUUGCACCACUUAGGAACAAGCAGAGAAAUCAGGAUUGGAAAAAAUUCAGCAGGCACUUAUGGAAGGAGAGCCUACAAGAUCGGUCGAUUUGUCUGAGCAUGAGAAAGAAGCUAUAUAAAACAUCUUUAUCUGCUAACUAUGAAACCUGUCAUUUAUGUUGCUAAUGUAACAGAAUUUGAUCUUGCUGAACCUGAUAUCAAUCCUCGUGUCAAAGAGGUGGCUAAAGCAGCAUCAGACUUGUAGUCUGGUAUGGUUACAAUACCAGCUCAUGUUUGUUGUAUACAUCGAAGUACAAGAACCUUUGAAGAAAUUCCUUCUAAAUAAUUUUAUAUUUUUUAUGUUGCCUACCCAUAUGUGUCCACCUAUGCUAACAAAAUCAUGGAAUGUAUAAAAAGGUUGAAACUGAACUCGCUGAGGUACCAUUGGAAGAGAGACUAGAGUAUUUAAAAUCUUUUGGUGUUGCUGAAAGUGGACUAGGAAAUUUGGUAAAAGCAACAUAUAAUCUAUUGGGUUAAGAACUUAUUUCACAACCGGAGACAAGGUGCAUCAUUUGUGAUGUUAAAGUUUUUUCCCCAUCAGUUAAAAGAAACUGACAGACCUUUAACCGUGUCAUUUUAGGAAACAAAAGCUUGGACUAUUUUUUCAGGCUUCCUUCUUCCUCACAAUUGUUUCUAUUGUAAUAUUUGAAGAGGUUUUUGUAAUCAUUAUAACUGCAUGUGAUUCUACAUGUAAGCAUCUGGAGCAGCACAACAACAGAGUGUGGGCUAUCCAUUUGUUGUAGAUGAAUUAUGCGAUUUACAUGCACAAUUCUUUGCAUAAAUAUUGAAGGUAUCUGGAAAAAAGAUUUGAUCCUGUUAUGAUGAUUUUGUUCUUCGGGACCUAAAUGUUCUGAUCUCUAAUAGUGGAAAUCACUUUUGUUUAAUCAUGUAUGAUUUCAUUGUUAAUGCCGCAUGAUUUAAUUGUCGUCAUCUUUGCCAUGUGCGAACAAGAAUAUAUUUGGCCGUAAGUGGUCUACGACCCCUAUCUGGGCUUAUUUGUUUCCCUGAUGGCAUUGUGUCCCAAACAAAAGAAACAAACUGACGUUGUCUCUCUGUUACUGGUACAUCUUCUUUCGGAACGCAUUGAUUUUUCACAUUAGUUUAUUGUUUAAAAGGGUUCCUUUUAUUUAUGCACAUUGUACGUUUACAAAAAUCAUAGAACAUGGUAGUACAUACGAGUAUCUCCUGCUUCAUGGUGCUAGCAUAUAUGAUGCUUGAUUGCACAAAUGAAAUUCCAAAUGUGAAUUUUGUCCACGCGCCCACGGAUUACAAUGAGAUUCGGUAAGUGGCGGUGGGAGCGCCAGUGGGUGAUGAUGAUGGGCGCAAGGCCGCUGCCCUGGUGACGGUCAUCGUCCUCAGGAGUGUCAUCUCGUUGCGUUUCAUUGGGCUCGAGGGUGAUAUGAUGGUCAAAGUGAUCCUCCACGUAGCGCUUCUCUUCGCUGUUGCGCUCGUGAGGGGCGCAUGCUGCUUGGCACUAACCUCGCUGGCUUUGUCCUCUCCAUCGCCAACGACAUUGGCGGUUCUAGAGCUAUGAUGGUAUACUUGUCAAUUCUAUUGAGGCAAGACCAGUAUUCUCAAGGUGAUGUAUGCUGCAUUUGAUUCUGGUAACUAUUUCGUGAUUCCAGGCCCCCUCAGAAGCAUUUCAGGUUGAUAGCUUUAUUGCUAAAAGUUACCAUGAAGAUGUGAAGAUUAGCCUGCAUGUAAAGAUCAGAGUAAAAGGACUGUGAUUGAAAACUCUAUAAUCUACUUACUCUUAAGAUUUAAUUGUAAAUAUAGGUUUAUCUGGGAAGUGCUUCUUAGAUAAGCUGCACAAAUAGAGUAAAAGCACUGUCAAAAUAAGCUGCUCUAAUCCAGCUUCUGUUUUUAGUACAAAUGAGAGUGGAUGGGAAUAAUCCAGUCCAGAAUAAUCUGCAAAAAAGCAUUUCGAUUA